UUUUCAGCUAAAUCUCUCUCCUUCUUCAGCCAUGGCAGAGCAAGAAGCCCAUAAGGUCGAGGUUGAGGCCACUUCCCCGGCGCCACCGCCCGUUGCGGCGCCGCCGACGCCAGCGGUGGAGCCCACCAAGGACGUUGCGGAGGAGAAGGCCGUUAUUCCGUCGCCUGCAGAGGACAAGCCCGACGAUUCUAAAGCCCUCGCCAUCGUCGAGAAGAUUGAAGAUCCUCCUGCUGCCGAGAAAAUUUCAGGGGGUUCAAAUGAUAGAGAUGCUGCCCUAACACGAAUUGAAACUGAGAAAAGGUUGUCUUUAAUCCGAGCUUGGGAGGAUAAUGAGAAGACUAAAGCUGAGAAUAAGGCUCAGAAGAACCUGGCAGGGAUUACUUCAUGGGAGAACUCAAAGAAAUCAGCUAUAGAGGCUCAGCUGAAAAAAAUUGAGGAAUCUCUAGAAAAGAAGAAAGCAGAAUAUGCUGAAAAGAUGCAGAACAAGAUAGCUAUGCUUCACAAGACAGCAGAAGAGAAGAAAGCUAUGGUUGAGGCUAAGCGAGGCGAGGACUUACUCAAAGCAGAAGAGAUGGCCGCUAAGUACCGGGCAAAAGGGGAGGCUCCGAAGAAGCUUUUUGCUUGCUUCGGUUGAUACAACAGAAUGAGAAAUUAUGCCGAGCUGCGAUAUAUAUGCAAUUUGUCUUGAUUCACGUGUGGGUUUGGAGUUGAUUUUUUUUCUUCAGGUAGGCUUCUACUGAACAGUUGAUUCCGUCUUUGUUUGUGAAAAAUGUGUAUGUUGUUGUAUAUACAUGUGUCCGUUAGGACAAAUGUGUGAUGGUGUAAAUUCGUGUAUUCUUUUGCUAUGACUUUCUUAGCAUUCAUGUAAUCAAAUAUGAGUUG
rnacentral:misc_RNA from 1 species